rnacentral:snoRNA from 1 species
GGCCUCUCUCCCAUAGGGUUAUAGGGGGUCCCUUUUCUCCUCACCAAGGAUGAAAGCCAAGAUCAGGCCUGGAAGAUCAUUGGCAGGAAUGGCACAAGCUGGAAAGCCUUGUUUUCUUAACUCAGUCAUUU